rnacentral:rRNA from 1 species
GAUGAACGCUGGCGGCGUGCCUAAUACAUGCAAGUCGAGCGAACAGAUGAGGAGCUUGCUCCUCUGACGUUAGCGGCGGACGGGUGAGUAACACGUGGAUAACCUACCUAUAAGACUGGGAUAACUUCGGGAAACCGGAGCUAAUACCGGAUAAUAUAUUGAACCGCAUGGUUCAAUAGUGAAAGACGGUUUUGCUGUCACUUAUAGAUGGAUCCGCGCCGCAUUAGCUAGUUGGUAAGGUAACGGCUUACCAAGGCAACGAUGCGUAGCCGACCUGAGAGAGCGACCGGCCACACUGGGACUGAGACGCGGCCCAGACUCGUACGGGAGGCAGCAGUGGGGAAUAUUGCACAAUGGGCGAAAGCAUGAUGCAGCGACGCCGCGUGAGGGAUGACGGCCUUCGGGUUGUAACCAUCUUUCAGCAGGGAAGAAGCGAAAGUGACGGUACCUGCAGAAGAAGCGCCGGCUAACUACGUG